AUCUUGCGCAAUGGGCGAAAGCCUGACGCAGCAACGCCGCGUGGGGGAUGAAGGCUCUCGGGUUGUAAACCCCUUUCAGCAGGGACGAAUCAAGACGGUACCUGCAGAAGAAGCCCCGGCUAACUCCGUGCCAGCAGCCGCGGUAAUACGGAGGGGGCUAGCGUUGUUCGGAAUUACUGGGCGUAAAGCGCGCGUAGGCGGCUUUGUAAGUUAGAGGUGAAAGCCCGGAGCUCAACUCCGGAACUGCCUUUAAGACUGCAUCGCUAGAACGUCGGAGAGGUAAGUGGAAUUCCGAGUGUAGAGGUGAAAUUCGUAGAUAUUCGGAAGAACACCAGUGGCGAAGGCGACUUACUGGACGACUGUUGACGCUGAGGUGCGAAAGCGUGGGGAGCAA
rnacentral:rRNA from 1 species